rnacentral:lncRNA from 1 species
UUCAUACUUGAUUAUGUAAUAUCUCUAGCUUUGUUUCCUAUUGAUUUAUAUGUGAUUGUUUAGAGCUUGCUUAGCUUCCACUCCAUUCAUACCAUUCACAUAGAUUAAAAUUGAUCAUAUAACUAUAAGUUAAUUUUAGAUCAAUUGCACCUUAAAGCCAUAGUGUAGUUGCUCUAGCUUAAUUUUUCACUGCUUUACUUGUAAUUGCCUAGAGCUUAAGUAAGAUAACAUCUUAUCAUUCUGCU